GAUGCCAGUACGUCAACUUAGGGGUCUAGGAUGGAGCCAGGAUAUCCCCAAGGUGUUGGUAUGCCAACUCGAUGGAGGUCCAGACUAGAGUUAAGAUAUCUCUGAGGUGCUGUUACGUCGGGUUAGGGAUCCAGGCCAGAGCCAGGAUAUCCUUAAGGUGUUUAUACACUGACUCGAUGAAGGUCCAGGCUGGAGCUAGGAUAUCUCUAAGGUGCCAA
rnacentral:lncRNA from 1 species